ACGACUCUCGACAACGGAUAUCUCGGCUCUCGCAUCGAUGAAGAACGUAGCGAAAUGCGAUACUUGGUGUGAAUUGCAGAAUCCCGUGAACCAUCGAGUCUUUGAACGCAAGUUGCGCCCGAAGCCAUUAGGCUGAGGGCACGUCUGCCUGGGUGUCACGCAU
rnacentral:rRNA from 3 species